rnacentral:rRNA from 1 species
GGGCCCGCACAAGCGGUGGAGUAUGUGGUUUAAUUCGAUGCAACGCGAAGAACCUUACCAGGGUUUGACAUCCUGCGAAUCUCUUGGAAACAGGAGAGUGCCUUCGGGAACGCAGUGACAGGUGGUGCAUGGCUGUCGUCAGCUCGUGUCGUGAGAUGUUGGGUUAAGUCCCGCAACGAGCGCAACCCACGUCUUUAGUUGCCAGCAUUUAGUUGGGCACUCUAGAGAGACUGCCGGUGACAAACCGGAGGAAGUGUGGAUGACGUCAAAGUCAUCAUGCCCCCUUACGUCCUGGGGCUACACACGUACUACAAUGCUACGGACAAAGGGGCUGCAAGUUCGCGAGGACAAGCAAAUCCCAUAAACCGUGGCUCAG